AGACCUUUCACCUUUGUGACACAGCAAAUCUAGUAACUUAACAUCAAUACCUCAACUAUAAGCAGACACAUAACCUCCUUCUAAUGAGAAUUAACGAAAAUAAUGCAUAGAAAUGCAGCGCCACGUUCAUUUCUACCACGGCUAGAAUUUCACUUCCCUUAUCGUAGGAUUAGAGUAAAGAACCACCUCAUUACAAAAAUUCG
rnacentral:misc_RNA from 1 species